ensembl:snRNA U6 U6 spliceosomal RNA
GUGCUAGCUUCAGCAGCACAUAUACUAAAAUUGGAAUGAUACAGAGAUUAGCAUGGUCCCUGCACAAGGAUGACAUGAAAAUUCGUGAAGUUUUUCAUAUUUUU